AGAAUCAACGCUGGCGGCGUGCCUAACACAUGCAAGUCGCACGAGAAAGGGACUUCGGUCCUGAGUACAGUGGCGCACGGGUGAGUAACACGUGAAUAAUCUACCUCCGAGUGGGGAAUAACUGAGAGAAAUCUUAGCUAAUACCGCAUAACACUUACGAGCCAAAGCAGCAAUGCGCUUGGAGAGGAGUUCGCGGCAGAUUAGUUAGUUGGCGGGGUAAUGGCCCACCAAGACGAUGAUCUGUAUCCGGCCUGAGAGGGCGCACGGACACACUGGAACUGAAACACGGUCCAGACUCCUACGGGAGGCAGCAGUGGGGAAUUUUGCGCAAUGGGGGAAACCCUGACGCAGCAACGCCGCGUGGAGGAUGAAAUCCCUUGGGAUGUAAACUCCUUUCGAUAGGGAAGAUAAUGACGGUACCUAUAGAAGAAGCCCCGGCUAACUUCGUGCCAGCAGCCGC
rnacentral:rRNA from 1 species